GGCGCGUUUGUUCUCAUUUUUGCGCUGCUUUCGGUAAGUGGUUGUGUGAUUUGUUUGGUGUGGUUAUUUUUCUUAAUAGUGUGGCGCGCCUUAGGCUUUGGCUCUGCAUUGCACUUACUUGGGAGACUGGGUGGCGCAUUAGCGGUUGUCUCGUACGUGGCAGCGGUACGGCGGGGCUUUGUCAAGGACAAAAUGGCGAUUGGCGGGCCGUGCUCUCGGCCCUCCCUGUGAUGAGGACCUUCUCACAGACCUGUACUGAGCUUUGUGAGGAUAACUAACUCUGAGGAUACAGGGCCCUCGCAGCCGAUGUCCCACGUUGUUGUCUCCAGAAAGAGGAGUGCUCAUACCCACUGCUAACAACGCUUUUUUGUCUGCAGGAAGAGGCGCGCUUUUGAACGCUAAAGAAUCUUGAAGAGACUUCUGUCUGUUGGAGUAAGUGAUUAUGGCCAUUCUUUAUCUCUGUUCCUGCAUUGUUGGUUGUAUGAAUGUGCUAUGAGGAUGAUUACCAAUUGAACUCUCUCUUUCUGAGGGAUUAGUGGAGAAGACUUUAAAAUUCUGAGUAGCACCACCUGCAGCAAAUGUCUCUUUUUGUUUUUUGGAGUUUUAUUGUACUCUACUUUGCCAUGUUAAGACACUGACAGAAUGCAGUUGACGUCCUAAGGGUGUAAAGCUCAGUGAAGGAUAUGCUUCAUUUUUUCAGAUGUGGAUUAGCUCAGUAGAGCUUACUAGUUGGAGGAUGGGACAAAACACAGUCCUCUACAAAAGAUUGGCUGUAACUGGGCCCGAAGAGCGUGUGGUACUUCACCUACAACAACCUUCUGGUGCUACUCUUCAAAUCUAGCAUUACAGUGAUGCUCCAACAUCUCAUCACUGAUCCUGAAGAAUUCAGGUGCCUCCCAGAUUGAAUUCAGGUUGUGAUGAUGCCAUACUCAUCUGUCUUAGAAGCAGCUUGAACAUGGAUACCAGUGAAAAGCCCCCAGAGUUAAGAGGUACUGCUAACGGUGAGCUGGUCGUUGGCUAAAAAGUAAGUGAUUUCAAUAUGUUAAUAUGCACGCGGCAUAUAGGGUGGAGAAAGGUGCCUUCUCAGGCCCUUCUGUAUGAUGACGUACAUGGAAUCUCGUUCGGCUGAUGACUUGCUGCUGAGACAUGGAAAUCUGAUUUUUUGGGAGAUAAGGGCUUGGACAAGAACACCUUAAUAGAUAUUGCCAACUGAGUCUUAUUUGUUGCAGGUGCAGCAUCUUGCCUGGGGCACUAGCGAUGAUUUGAGGGAGACUGGAAGCCAUAUGUCUCCUCAGUCCUGGUCUGAGGUUAGAGGUCUGAGGAAAGGAGCAAGGUACAUUUAAAUGGAACCAAGCUCUUGGAUAUGUUGAAAUCAGCGUGCAGUCAUUUCAGUCUGUCUACUACCUCUCAAUAAAGCCUUUUUUUUGUUUGUACCUUGAGUGUAGUUUGUGUGGGCGUAGGUAGCUUGGCAAAAUGAAAUAAGCCCUGAGAAUUCACUAUCAUAGGCUCUGCCCAGCUUAGUGUGGUAAUUUACCUAAUGCUCUAUUGCCUAGUCCAGAGAAGAACAUUCCUAACACUGCUGAUCUCAUCUAAGUCUUUGCAGUUGCUGUUUUUCCAUAUAUAUCAUUUAUUAGCAGUGUAUAAAUUCCAUGUAUAAUGUUAUCAUGUUGACCUAAGUAGAUCUAGCUUCAAAAAUACUUCCACUGAACAUCCAUCUUGGUGCCCAUACACCACUAUAUCUGAGCAUGAAUUUAAGAUACAGUGAAGUUCCUCAAAGAUGAGCUGCUUGGUUGAUCUCCAGAGAAGCACAUUUACAAUCUCACAAAAAGGUUAGGUGGGAACCAAGAUGAAGUACUUAACUGCAAGCAAGUAAGCCUUUGCAGAAGUAGUUCUGUUCUGCAAGAAGUCAGGUCACCGUGAGUUGGCAGCCAGUAUGCAUUUGCUCAUAGCACAGAUCUUGGCAGGCAAGUGCUAAAAGCAUCCACAGAGAACAGGCUUGUAUGUACAUUGUGUACUGUGAGAGAAGGAAUAGGGAAAGUGGUUACCAAAAAGUACUAGGGGGUUAACUCUUAGACUAGGCUAUAAACUUUGGGAGAUGAGGCCACUGUUAAUUUAAGCCAGAGUUAGGAAAUUUAGCUAAGAGGCAGUGGGACAAGCUACAGAGAGGCCAGCAUAGAGCAGAAUCCACAAGAAAUGUCUGGUAGAUAAUAAAAGCCUCCUGCAAGCCUUGUUCGCACGCAAUUUGGCAAAUUAGGCCCCAGGUUGGGUUCUGUCAAGUCGAUUUUCAAUUCUUAGCUAUACUGUGACAGAACUGCCUUGGUGUCUCUAGGCAGAACUGCCUUGGUGUCUCUAGGCUGUAAUGUUUAUGGGAUA